rnacentral:rRNA from 1 species
UACGGAGGGUGCAAGCGUUGUCCGGAUUUAUUGGGUUUAAAGGGUGCGUAGGCGGCCGUUUAAGUCUGGGGUGAAAGCCCGUUGCUCAACAACGGAACUGCCCUGGAAACUGGAUGGCUUGAGUACAGACGAGGGUGGCGGAAUGGAUGCUGUAGCGGUGAAAUGCAUAGAUAGCAUCCAGAACCCCGAUUGCGAAGCAGCUGCCUAGACUGUAACUGACGCUGAGGCACGAAAGCGUGGGGAGCGAACAGG